rnacentral:rRNA from 1 species
UACAGAGGUCUCAAGCGUUGUUCGGAUUCAUUGGGCGUAAAGGGUGCGUAGGUGGCGCCGUAAGUCGGGUGUGAAAUUUCGGAGCUUAACUCCGAAACUGCAUUCGAUACUGCGGUGCUUGAGGACUGGAGAGGAGACUGGAAUUCAUGGUGUAGCAGUGAAAUGCGUAGAGAUCAUGAGGAAGACCAGUGGCGAAGGCGGGUCUCUGGACAGUUACUGACGCUCAGGCACGAAAGCAUGGGGAGCAAAAGGG